GUGAUGGGUCGCCCUACCGCGGCGCUUUCGGGCGACGAGGAAAGUCCGGGCAACGCAGAGCGCCCUGCUUCCUAACGGGAAGGACUGGCGCAAGCCAGGACAGCCAGUGCCACAGAAAACUACCGCCUACGUGGCCUUUCGGGGCCGCCGGUAAGGGUGAAAAGGUGCGGUAAGAGCGCACCAGCGGGCGGGUGACCGUCCCGGCUGGGUAAACCUCAGGGGUUGAAAGACCAAAUAAGCUGGUACGCCGGCGCGGCUUCGGCCGCAUCGGCACCGGGCGGCUCGUCCGGCGCCAGCGGGUAGGUUGAUGGAGCCUUUCCGCAAGGACUGGCCUAGAUAAAUGGUGGGGACGCGCCUUCGGGCGCGGACAAAACCCGGCUUACAGACCCAUCACCAGA
rnacentral:RNase_P_RNA from 1 species